rnacentral:rRNA from 1 species
ACUUACGGCCAUACCAACCUGGCUAUGCCCGAUCUCGUCUGAUCUCGGAAGCUAAGCAGGUUUGGGCCUGGUUAGUACUUGGAUGGGAGACCGCCUGGGAAUACCAGGUGCUGUAAGCU